rnacentral:rRNA from 1 species
GAAUAUUGGGCAAUGGAGGCAACUCUGACCCAGCCAUGCCGCGUGCAGGAAGAAGGCCUUCUGGGUUGUAAACUGCUUUUAUCUAGGAAGAAAACACUCCUGCGGGAGAAACUGACGGUACUAGAUGAAUAAGCACCGGCUAACUCCGUGCCAGCAGCCGCGGUAAUACGGAGGGUGCAAGCGUUGUCCGGAUUUAUUGGGUUUAAAGGGUGCGUAGGCGGCCCGGGAAGUCAGUGGUGAAAGCCUCCAGCUCAACUGGAGAACUGCCAUUGAUACUGUCGGGCUUGAGUACAGACGAGGUUGGCGGAAUUGAUUGUGUAGCGGUGAAAUGCAUAGAUACAAUCAAGAACUCCGAUUGCGUAGGCAGCUAACUAGGCUGUAACUGACGCUGAGGCACGAAAGCGUGGGGAGCGAACAG